ensembl:lncRNA
CAACCAUGCAGCUGGGUCAUGGAGCCUGGGCUCAGCCCUCUUGGGUUUCCAGCCAAAGGAAUUGUGGCUUUUUUUUUUUCCCCUGAUAGAAUGAAGGAGCUGAAGAAAUCAUAAAGGAGGCUCUGAGUUUGCUAAGGGUGGGCGUUUGGAGAAUGCUUUUUGAGCUCGUUGGGAUUGGAGGUGCUCAUGGUCUUCCGUUGGCCACCAAGAAGCUUCUGACGCUCUUGAGUGUUUGGUGGUGGUGGGUCUGCUUUUGGGACCCCUCAGUGCAGGGGGAUGAGAGUCAUUGGGGUUAUUUGGUCCGACACAAACACCAAAAUUCAAAAUAGACACCAAGUUGGAUCCCAGAAGUGCCCGUGCCCCUCUUUGACACCCGCGUGUCCCAAAAGCCCUUUAAAAGCAAACUCUGGAGACACCGAAAACCACUCUCUUUUAAUAAAUUCUAGCCUGCCAAGGUGGCACGCCCUGAAGUACUUGUUUGGACCAAGGAAUAAACCAGCAUUGGACACUGCUCCCUUGAAAGUGUUUUUCUGCUUUAACGCAGUUUCUCGUCUGAAAAACGAGGACAGAACACCUACUUCUGCUUCCUUUGCUUUAUGAAUAUUGCAACGCUUUCAGAAGAGGGGAUGGUCUUUUCUGGCCAAAAGGUGGAAUUUCCAUCCUGUGGGAAAGCUGCUGCUUUACGGUCUGGUUGGAAGGCGAGCUGGGAAUUUCCCCACCGAGUGAAGUGGGAGAAAGCUUGGGUCUGUCACAGACUUGCUCCAACAAGAACCGCGUCUGAUGGGGAUGCAGUUUCGGUCUUGUGGAGGACUUCAUAAAGAAGUUGACCCAUUCCAGUAGGAUUUAACCUUUCUUCAAGCACAGUUUUAACAUGUGGCCAAGGAUGUCCCGUGCCCGAUGGCGCAUCCAUCUGACGUUUCCUUGGGUGAUCCAUUUGAAUAUCGAGUCCCUCGCUUGGUGGAUCCUCGUCAAAACUUCCCAGCUUAAUCCUGAGGAUUUGAAGGACGAGAAGGACGUUUAUGGCUGGGAGGUGACAAAGCUCGUGGCUCUUGCAAGGUGUUGCUCACGUGUUGAAGGAUGCUGAAGGAAGAUGGUUUAGGAUUAAAGCUGACUUUACUGCAUGGGAAAGGUGAGGUGGAAGGUUAUUUUCCAGUGGCAGCAAUGGGGGCCUCUCCAUUCUGAGAUGAUCAGUAAAGCUCUGCUUCCUUCCAGAAGGAUGGGUAGAGUUUGCCAUAACCUUCUACAGCAAAUGUUUGCUUUCUAACCUCUCUUUUCUAGGUGCCAAGCUCCUGUUGUCCCACCCGCUAGGCAGUGGGGUGAGAUGGUGAUCCAAGCUUGCACCUUUAUGGGGAGGCAGUGUGGGUCCCAGGGAACCCUAAUUCCAGCCUAACCAAGUCAAAGCCCAACAGCCUGUCCCAAUCCUCAGAUGCUGCUGCUUGUUUUUCUAUCUUGGGUGCUCUUAAUGCAGAAACCUGCUACCUUGUGUUGUCCUUCCAAGGAUGGAGAAUGGAGAUCUGCUUUGCACAGUAGUAGCCGAAGCCUUGCUGCAUGCUUCUCUCCCUUGCUGUCCUCCCUGCCCUAUGGGAGAGGCAGUGCUGAGUCAGGCUGUUUCUCCUCUUCCUGCUGAUGUUCUUGAUGCUCCUCCUUGGCCAGGUAUUUGGUUCAAUUUGGAGCAGGCUUGCUCUCCAAAAUCUGGGUUUGAGAUCAGGCGCCAGCCUUCUUGGCUGCAUGGCAAAACAAGCUGAAAAAAGGAUGGGAGAAGAGAGGAGAGUGUCAAUGAAUGGAGAAAGCUCUGGAGGAUGUGAUGAAAGUUUUGGCCACCUCCAGGCAAACUGCUGUGUCCUCCUGCUCCCAUGGUGGUAUCCUGGUCCUGCUCAUCCCCUGAUCCAUUGGGAUGCAGGAGUCACCAUCCAAAAGACGCUGAGUGAUCUGAGGAUCUCCCGUUGUGGGGACAUCUGGAGCAAGGCAAUGAAUUCCUGGAAGUUGCAGUGUGGUUGUUUGGUAGGUUGAGGUUUGGGGGUGGAACGGGGUGACUUAAACCACAGCAGAGUCACUUGGGGAUGCUUAAGCCUCUGUACAGACAAACCUGGAGUUCCCUGGGCGCAUGGAGAUUUAUCCCAGCUGUUUGAAAAAGCACCUUGUAGGGUUACUGGCUCAGUAAGUGUAUGCACAGAAGAAUAAUUCAUUUAUCAAAGCUCCCUAAGUAAUUGCUGUUCAUUAAGUAUGGGUAACGUAUGAAGCACAAGCAGCAAAUCAGCGCUUGCCUCGAGGAAUCAGAGUGAUUAGGGUUAAGCAAGGCAGGGACAGGGCUGUGGGGCUGAGGAGGUAAUGAGUGGGUCAGCAGGACGCGUUUGGGCCACGCCGGGCACGCGAGGAGCGUCUGCAGUGGGAGCUGUGUGUGUCCAGCCCUGUGACACAUUGCAGGGGAAUGGCUGAUACUGCGGCCAUGGGGCAGAGCGGCUGCGGUUCCUGGUUGCAGGCUGGGGUUGGUCCACCAUGAUAGAAAAAAAAAAAAGAAAGAUCCUAAAUGCCUGUGUUACAUUUGGCUGCAGGGUCCCAUCUUGCUACUCUGAGCUGCUGGAAGUAGGCUCUGGGGGUAGAUGUGGGGCUGCAGGAGGCUAUGGGUGUACAUGUGGGGCUGCAGGAGGCUCUGGAGGUAGAUGUGGGGCUGCAGGAAGCUCUGGGGGUAGAUGUGGGGCUGCAGGAGGCUCUGGGGAUAGAUGUGGGGCUGCAGGAGGCUCUGGGGGUAGAUGUGGGGUUGCAGGAGGCUCUGGGGUACGUGUGGGGCUGCAGCAGGCUCUGGGGGUGUAUAUGUGGCUGCAGCAGGUUCUGGGGGUAGAUGUGGGGCUGCAGGAGGCUCUGGGGGUAGAUGUGGGGCUGCAGGAGGCUCUGGGG